UAAACGCUGGCGGCGCACAUAAGACAUAGCAAGUCGAACGGAAGACCGUUAUAAAUGAAGUGGAAAGAAGAUUAUCAGAUGAAACAGAUUUAUAACAAUGACUUUAGUGGCGGACUGGUGAGUAACGCGUGAGCAACCUGCCUAUUAGAGGGGAAUAACAGUGAGAAAUCAUUGCUAAUACCGCAUAAGCUUGUAGGGACGCAUGUUCUAGCAAGAAAAGGAGUAAUCCGCUAAUAGAUGGGCUCGCGUCUGAUUAGCUAGUUGGUGUGGUAAAGGCAUACCAAGGCAACGAUCAGUAGCCGAGCUGAGAGGCUCUACGGCCACAUUGGGACUGAGAUACGGCCCAGACUCCUACGGGAGGCAGCAGUCGGGAAUAUUGCGCAAUGGAAGGAAACUCUGACGCAGUGACGCCGCGUAUAGGAAGAAGGUUUUAGGAUUGUAAACUAUUUUAGACAGGGAAGAGAAAAGACAGUACCUGUAGAAUAAGCUCCGGCUAACUACGUGCCAGCCGCCGC
rnacentral:rRNA from 1 species